rnacentral:rRNA from 1 species
UGGGGAAUAUUGGACAAUGGGCGAAAGCCUGAUCCAGCAAUGCCGCGUGAGUGAUGAAGGCCUUAGGGUCGUAAAGCUCUUUUACCCGGGAUGAUAAUGACAGUACCGGGAGAAUAAGCUCCGGCUAACUCCGUGCCAGCAGCCGCGGUAAUACGGAGGGAGCUAGCGUUGUUCGGAAUUACUGGGCGUAAAGCGUACGUAGGCGGUUAUUCAAGUCAGAGGUGAAAGCCCGGGGCUCAACCCCGGAACUGCCUUUGAAACUAGAUAGCUAGAAUCUUGGAGAGGUCAGUGGAAUUCCGAGUGUAGAGGUGAAAUUCGUAGAUAUUCGGAAGAACACCAGUGGCGAAGGCGACUGACUGGACAAGUAUUGACGCUGAGGUACGAAAGCGUGGGGAGCAAACAGGAUUAGAUACCCACGUAGUCCCUGAGCGGGCUGGCAAGGCGCAU